GAGGACGCUUACCACUUUGUGGUUCAUGACUGGGGUGAAGUCGUAACAAGGUAGCCCUAGGGGAACCUGGGGCUGGAUCACCUCCUUACGAAA
rnacentral:rRNA from 1 species